AACCACCUCAGAUAGCAUGAUUUGCAUUUAUCUACGGGAGUGAUAGCAGCAGGCUCGUUUCCCAAGGUGAUUUUGCAACAAACAAACAAAACCAAGCCAAAACAAAACACAAAGGCUGCAAAACAAACAGGAGCCCAGAUCUGCAGCGCGCAUUUUCACUCCUGUCUUCCCCAUAGAAAAAGGAGAGAUGUCAGAACUCAAAUGUCUCACAAUAUGUUCUGCAAAAGCAGUGCAGCGUGCCAUUUGGAUCUGUCAGCAUUUUAUAUUGUGUCUGGCAACGAGGCUGCUGUACCUUUUCCUUGCAGAUUAGUACGACAGCUGUAAGAGCCACACAAAGUGAUACAAGUUAUGAACAGUUCUUACCAGGCUGGCUGAGGAAUCAGCUGAAGGAUAACUUGCAGUUGUUCACACCCAGGCUGAGCUGCUGGCACUGUGUUCUUCCCUGGGAUCUGCAUGUUACGACAUCAGCUGGAAGUUCAGAGCCUUUGUGUAUUUAAAGAGGGACUUGUGGAACAUCAGGAAUAAUGAGUCAAUCCAGCUAAACUUCAACAGCGAGGAGAAAAAAAAAGAACCUCUUGAGAAGGGCAGAUUGAGAAAUGACUGCAUUAAAUAUAUAAAAAAAAAAUAAAAGGAAAAGAGUGUGAAGCCUCCA
rnacentral:lncRNA from 1 species